UACGGGGGGGGGCAAGCGUUGUUCGGAAUUACUGGGCGUAAAGGGCUCGUAGGUGGCCAACUAAGUCAGACGUGAAAUCCCUCGGCUUAACCGGGGAACUGCGUCUGAUACUGGAUGGCUUGAGUUUGGGAGAGGGACGCGGAAUUCCAGGUGUAGCGGUGAAAUUCGUAGAUAUUGGGAAGAACACCAGUGGCGAAGGCGGCUAACUGGUCCGGUACUGACGCUGAGGUGCGAAAGCGUGGGGGGGCAAACAGG
rnacentral:rRNA from 1 species